UUUGACUCUUUCACUCACACAAGCACAGAGACUCUCACUCGUGCACACUUAUUAUUCAAGAUGCAGCAGAAGCCGGAGUCUAAAUUUAGCCCGCUCACUGAGACGUCACUCCUCACUCUACAUGCUGCAAGACUGCUGGAAACCUCAGAUUCACCUGAGAGACCCCAGUGCUUCCUGAACAACUGUUGACUCAUGAUAGCCUGACGAAAGGUUGUUUGCUGCUCAGUGGAUGGAAAAUUGGAACAAUAACAUGCAAACACGGAGGUAAUGGCUGUGGUGCCAGGCAGGCAGACCACAGGGAGAUGCAGGUCUCCAACAAGGACCUGACCAUAACAUCAACAGUAAUGGCUGGUUUACCAGAGUGCUUUUAAAAGCAGUAUCUAUAUUUGAUUUAUGUCAGAAAUACCACU